rnacentral:misc_RNA from 1 species
GAUGAAGAACGUAGCGAAAUGCGAUAAGUAAUGUGAAUUGCAGAAUUCAGUGAAUCAUCGAAUCUUUGAACGCACAUUGCGCCCGGCAGUACUCUGCCGGGCAUGCCUGUUCGAGCGUCAUUCCAACCCUCAAGCCCUGCUUGGUGUUGGGGCCCCACGGCUGCCGUGGGCCCUGAAAGGAAGUGGCGGGCUCGCUACAACUCCGAGCGUAGUAAUUCAUUAUCUCGCUUAGGGCGUUGGGCGGCGCUCCAGCCGUUAAAGAACCAUCUUUAACUCAAGGUUGACCUCGGAUCAGGUAGGAAUACCCGCUGAACUUAAGCAUAUCAAUAAGCGGAGGA